rnacentral:rRNA from 1 species
CCUACGGGUGGCUGCAGUGGGGAAUAUUGCACAAUGGGCGCAAGCCUGAUGCAGCCAUGCCGCGUGUGUGAAGAAGGCCUUCGGGUUGUACAGCACUUUCAGCGGGGAGGAAGGCGUUAAGGUUAAUAACCUUGUCGAUUGACGUUACCCGCAGAAGAAGCACCGGCUAACUCCGUGCCAGCAGCCGCGGUAAUACGGGGGGUGCAAGCGUUAAUCGGAAUUACUGGGCGUAAAGCGCACGCAGGCGGUCUGUCAAGUCGGAUGUGAAAUCCCCGGGCUCAACCUGGGAACUGCAUUCGAAACUGGCAGGCUAGAGUCUUGUAGAGGGGGGUAGAAUUCCAGGUGUAGCGGUGAAAUGCGUAGAGAUCUGGAGGAAUACCGGUGGCGAAGGCGGCCCCCUGGACAAAGACUGGCGCUCAGGUGCGAAAGCGUGGGGAGCAAACAGGAUUAGAUACCCGUGUAGUC